CCCGGGAAACUGGGUUUAAUACCGUAUACGCCCUUCGGGGGAAAGAAUUUCGGUGAGGGAUCGGCCCGCGUUAGAUUAGUUAGUUGGUGGGGUAAUGGCCUACCAAGACUACGAUCUAUAGCUGGUUUGAGAGGAUGAUCAGCAACACUGGGACUGAGACACGGCCCAGACUCCUACGGGAGGCAGCAGUGGGGAAUCUUAGACAAUGGGGGCAACCCUGAUCUAGCGAUGCCGCGUGAGUGAUGAAGGCCUUAGGGUCGUAAAGCUCUUUCGCCUGUGAUGAUAAUGACAGUAGCAGGUAAAGAAACCCCGGCUAACUCCGUGCCAGCAGCCGCGGUAAUACGGAGGGGGUUAGCGUUGUUCGGAAUUACUGGGCGUAAAGCGCACGUAGGCGGAUUAGUCAGUCAGAGGUGAAAUCCCAGGGCUCAACCCUGGAACUGCCUUUGAUACUGCUAGUCUUGAGUUCGAGAGAGGUAAGUGGAAUUCCGAGUGUAGAGGUGAAAUUCGUAGAUAUUCGGAGGAACACCAGUGGCGAAGGCGGCUUACUGGCUCGAUACUGACGCUGAGGUGCGAAAGUGUGGGGAGCAAACAGGAUUAGAUACCCUGGUAGUCCACACCGUAAACGAUGAAUGCCAGUCGUCGGGUAGCAUGCUAUUCGGUGACACACCUAACGGAUUAAGCAUUCCGCCU
rnacentral:rRNA from 1 species